GGCGUCGUCCACAGACUUUGUCCGGAGCAUAUCUUCUACAUGCAUGAAGGGAUUUUGAUGAAACUUGGCACGGUUGUUCACCAUCAUGAGACGGAGUGUCAUGCGCAAAAACCAGGUCCCUAGGUCUAAGGUCAAGGUCACACUUAGAGGUCAAAGGUCAAAUUCAAGAAUGACUUUGUCCGGAGCAUAUCUUCUUCAUGCAUGGAGGGAUUUUGAUGAAAGUUGGCACAAUUGUUCAUCAUCAUGAGACGGAGUGUCAUGCGCAAGAACCAGGUCCCAAGGUCUAAGGUCAAGGUCACACUUAGAGGUCAAAGGAUACAAGAAAGAAAACUUUGUCCGGAGUAUAUCUUCUUCAUGCAUGGAGGGAUUUUGAUAUAACUUGGCACAAAUGUUCACCACCACGAGGCGGAGUGUCAUGCGCAAGAACCAGGUCCCUAGGUCUAAGGUCAAGGUCACACUUAGAGGUCAAAGGAUACAAGAAUAAAAACCUUGUCCGGAGCAUUUCUUCUUCAUGCAUAGAGGGAUUUUGAUAUAACUUUGCACAAAUGUUCACCACUACGAGGCGGAGUGUCAUGCGCAAGAACCAGGUCUCUAGGUCAAAGGUCAAGGUCACACUUAGAGGCCAAAGGUCAGAUACAAGAAUGACUUUGUCCGAAGCAUUUCUUCUUCAUGCAUGGAGGGAUUUUGAUGUAACUUGGCACAAUUAUACACCAUCAUGAGACAAAGUGUCAUGCGCAGUUCCCUUCUUUAGAAUUACUUCCCUUUGUUGUUACUAUAAAUAGCUUAUAUUGUAACUUUUUCAUUACUAGUCGUAGGGAAAACUCGAGACUACUUUUCUGUAGUACAACAUGCAUGCUACAUCCAAUUAUGAGGUGUAUUUUGACCAAUCUCUACCUGGUAAAGAUUUUUGUGUGGACACAAUUUUUUUUUUUGAUUUUUUUUUUUUUUUUUUUUUUUGUUAAGAUUAUCUUCCCUUAGUUGUUACUAUAAAUAACUUAUAUUGUAACUUUUUUAUAAUUGACCGUAGGGAAAAAACAAGACCACUUUUCUGCGGUACAACAUAGAUGUUACUUUCAAAUUUUAGGUGUAUUUUAAGGUAUCUCUACCUGGUAAGGAGUUUUUUUGUGGACUUAGAAAAACAAAUGACUUACAAUGAUUACUAAACAACCACAAAAUUAAAAUUCCAUUUGCAAAUACAGGUGCUAGAGUAAAGAAAUUUGUUGUGACGGGCGUAUAUUGUGACAUUCUGGCACUCUUGUUUUACAGUUGAAGUAUGAUAUGAAGAAUAAAUAUCCUAAAUGCAGCCUUAUUGAGCUUUGGCUAGACCAUGAACAGUAGACAUCAAAAAGAUGCUUAUCUAAAGGGCCGCAAAUGUUUGAAGCAUUGGUCAACAACAAAAAAAAACUGAACAAUUUGAUGGAUCAUACAAAAUGUACAAUCAGAUAUCCAGAAUUAGAGAAAUAAAAGUAUCAAGUGUUAGGGAGAUAGGAAAAUAUGCAUCAAUAUAAGUCAAGUGGAGUUAGAAACUAGGUCACCGGGUCAAAUCAAUGAUAACCUUGUUACACUCUAAGAGGCCACAGUUAUGACUAUACCUUAAUGAAACUUGGUCAAAAUGUUAACCUUGACGAUCUUUAAGCCAAGGUCAAAUCUGGGUCAGGUGGCAUCAAAAACAAGGUCACCAGGUCAAAUCAAAGGAAAAGCUUGUUAACACUCUGGAAGCCACAUUUAUGUAUCUUCAUGAAACUUGCUCAGAAUGUUAACCUUAAUUAUCUUUAGGUCAAGUUUAAAUUUAGGUCAAGUAGUCAGAAACAAAGUCACCAGGUCAAAUCAAGGGUAAGCUUGUUACACUCUAGAGGCCACUUGUAUGACUAUACCUUAAUGAAACUUAUUCAGAAUGUUAACCGUGACGAUCAUUAAGUCAAGGUCAAAUCUGGGUCAUAGGGGUCAAAAUCAAGUUACCAGGUCAAAUAAAAGGAAAAGCUAGUUAACACUCUAGAGGCCACAUUUAUGAUCAUACUAUAAUAAAACUUGGUCAGAAUGUUAAUCUUGAUUACCUUUAAGUCAGAUCUGGGUCAGGUGGGGUCAAAAACUAGGUCACCAGGUCAAAUCAAAGGAAAAGCUUUUUAAUACCCUAGAGACCACUGUAUCUUUAUGAAACUUGGUCAGAAUGUUAGUCUUGAUGAACUUUAGGUCAAGUUUAAAUCUGGGUCAUGUGGAAUGUGACCUACUGACCUACUCUUAUUUGUUUUUAGCCCACCUGUCACAUUGUGACAAGGUGAGCUUUUGUGAUCGCGCAGCGUCCGUCGUCCGUGCGUCAGUCCGUGCGUGCGUGCGUGCAUAAACUUUUGCUUGUGACCUCUCUAGAGGUCACAUUUUUCAUGGGAUCUUUAUGAAAGUUGGUCAGAAUGUUCAUCUUGAUGAUAUCUAGGUCAAGUUCGAAACUGGGUUACGUGCGGUCAAAAACUAGGUCAGUAGGUCUAAAAAAACAAACCUUGUGACCUCUCUAGAGGUUAUAUUUUUCAAAGGAUCUUCAUGAAAAUUGGUGAGAAUGUCUAGGUCAAGUUUGAAACUAGGUCAACUGCGGUCAAAAACUAGGUCAGUAGGUCAAAUAAUAGAAAAUCCUUGUGACCUCUCUAGAGGUCAUAUUUUUCAUGGGAUCUGCAUGAAAAUUGGUCAGAAUGUUCAUCUUGAUAAUAUCUAAGUCAGUUUCGAAACUGGGUCACGUCCGGCCCAAAACUAGGUCAGAAGGUCAAAUAAUAGAAAAAACCUUGUGACCUCUGUAGAGGCCGUAUUUUUCAAGCAAUCUGCAUGAAAAUUGAUCAGAAUGUUCAUCUUGAUGAUAUCUAGGUCAGGUUCGAAACUGGGUCAAUUGCGGUCAAAAACUAGGUCAGUAGGUCAAAUAAAAGUAAAUACUUGUAACCUGUCUAGAGGUCAUAUUUUUCAUGGGAUCUGCAUGAAAAUUGGUCAGAAUGUUCAUCUUGAUGAUAUCUAGGAAAAGUUCGAAACUGUGUCACGUCAGGACCAAAACUAGGUCAGUAGGUCAAAUAAUAGAAAAACCUUGUGACCUCUCUAGAGGUCAUAUUUUUCAUGGGAUCUGCAUGAAAAUUAGAAUGUUCAUCUUGAUAAUAUCUAGGUCAAGUUUGAAACUGGGUCACAUGCGGUCAAAAACUAGGUCAGUAGGUCAAAUAAUAGAAAAACCUUUUGACCACUCUAGAGAUCAUAUUUUUUAUGGGAACUGUAUGAAAGUUGGUCUGAAUGUUCAUCUUGAUGAUAUCUAGGUCAAGUUCGAAACUGGGUCAACUGCGGUCCAAAACUAGGUCAGUAGGUCAAAUAAUAGAAAAUCCUUGUGACCUCUCUAGAGGUCAUAUUUUUCAUGGGAUCUGCAUGAAAAUUGGUCAGAAUGUUCAUUUUAAUGAUAUCUAGGUCAAGUUCGAAACUGGGUCACGUCCGGUCCAAAACUAGGUCAGUAGGUCAAAUAAUAGAAAAACCUUGUGACCUCUGUAGAGGCAGUAUUUUUCAUGGGAUCCGCAUGAAAAUUUAUCAGAAUGUUCAUCUUGAUGAUGUCUAGGUCAAGUUUGAAACUGGGUUAAUUGCGGUUAAAAACUAGGUCAGUAGUUCAAAUAAAAGAAAAUUCUUGUGACCUCUCUAGAGGUUAUAUUUAUCAUGGGAUCUGCAUAAAAAUUGGUCAGAAAGUUUAUCUUGAUGAUAUCUAGGUCAGGUUCGAAACUGUGUCACGUCCGGUCCAAAACUAGGUCAGUAGGUCAAAUAAUAGAAAAACCUUGUGACCUCUCUAGAGGUCAUAUUUUUCAAGGGAUCUGCAUGAAAAUUGGUCAGAAUGUUCAUCUUGAUAAUAUCUAGUUUAACUUUGAAACUGGGUUACAUGCGGUCAAAAACUAGGUCAGUAGGUCAAAUAAUACAAAAACCUUUUGACAACUCUAGAGGCCAUAUUUUUCAUGGGAUCUGUAUGAAGAUUGGUCUGAAUGUUCAUCUUGAUGAUAUCUAGGUCAAGUUUGAAACCGGGUCAACUGCGGUCAAAAACUAGGUCACUAGGUCUAAACAUAGAAAAACCUUUUGACCUCUCUGGAGGCCAUAUUUUUCAUGAGAUCUUCAUGAAAAUUAGUGAGAAUGUUCACCUUGAUGAUAUCUAGGUCAAAUACAAAACUGGGUCACAUGCCUUUAAAAACUAGGUCAUUAUAUAAAAUAAUAGCAAAACCUUGUGACCUCUCUAGAGGCCAUAUUUUUCAAUGGAUCUUCAUAAAAAUUGGUCAGAAUUUUUAUCUUGAUGAUAUCUAGGUCAAGUUCAGAACUAGGUCACAUGAGCUCAAAACUAGGUCAAUAUGUCAAAUAAUAGAAAAAACGACGUCACACUCAGUUCAUGUGGGGACAGGUGAGCGAUUCAGGACCAUCAUGGUCCUCUUGUUUUAAGAUACAGCCUUGAAAUUUGGAUGACAUGUUCAGUUUUGCACACGAUCUUAAAACUGACUUCAAUGACCAUGAAUGUGACCUGCUGACCUACUUUCUUCAGGUUAGUGAUACAGGGCCCUGAAGACCCUCUUGUUAUGAAUGUGUUGCGGCUCACAUAACUUGGCGCAAAUAUUCAUCAUAACAAGAUGACAUGUAUGUAAAAUUCAUGACUCAGACUUCUAGCUCUAGGUUAGUGAUAUAUAUAGAAGCUCCUUUUAAACUAGGUUAAAAUGAAACCAGCUUACUACGUUCUUAAAAUUUUUAAAACAUACUUGUUUCAAGAUAUAUAAUAAACUCCUUUUAUGUCUCCGGUGUCAAAGAACUUAACCUAUACAGUUGCCAUCAAAUUCAUAUAAAACUCUGUUUACAUCAUCAACAUGAAUGCAUCGGGACUUCUAUGCCUAUUUAUUUUUUUCUGGAGUUGUUGCCCUUUUGGGCCUCGAAAUAAUUUCAUCACAUUGUAAACUUAAGUCCUACAGUUUCCAUCCAACUGAAUUGAAACUUGGUAUACAUCAACGGCAUGAAGUGGAUAUGUACAUGUUUUCCUGACUUUUAUGAUCGAUUAUUUUUUCUGGAGUUGUGACCCUUCUUUGACGACUAAUGACAACUACAUUGUAGUUUCCUACAUUUCUGUUUAUUUCAAUUAAAACUUGUUAAGCAUCAUGGACAUUAUGUAGACAUGUGCAUUUGUUUGUGUUCGGUUAUUUUAGUUAUGUCAUUUUUACUUAACAACAUUAUUUAGCCGUCGGUAUACUACAUGAUUGAAUGAAACAUUUUCUGUCAACACCAUUCUAGUUCCUUUUGCAACCCCCAUAAAGGAAUAUUGUCAAACUGUACAGAUAAGGGGAAGUAACAAUGUUUUGGAGUUCGGUUCCUUUUGUAGCACAACUUUCUAUGCAUAAUUGUGUAUUGAUAAUAUAUACUGUUAUAUGUAUGGACAUGCAUGAAUUUGUUAUGCUGUAAAU